ensembl:snRNA U6 U6 spliceosomal RNA
GUGCUCGCUUCGGCAGCACAUAUACUAAAGUUGGGAUGAUGCAGAGAAGAUUAGUAUAACCCUUGCCCGUGGACAACAUGCCAAUUCAAGAGGCAUUCCAUAUUUUA